AUGUUGACAGUGGCCUGUCUUGGUAAAACUGUUCUCCAGACGCCUGAUGAUCUACUGAAGAAACAAAAUGAAUCUGCUGUGAUCACUUGUACUCACAGCAUACAGAGCUAUGACCGAAUACUGUGGUACAAACAAAGUCAGGAUGUGUUGGGCUUCGAGUUGAUGGGAAACCUUUUUUAUGAGGAUGAGACCAAAGAGCCAGGAUUUGAAAAGAAGAUCAAAUUGGAAGGAGAUGGAAGAAAUAAAGGCAUUCUGACUAUAAGCAACCUCAUGCUGACUGACAGUGCAGUGUAUUUCUGUGCAGCAUAUUACACAGUGCUCAGAAUCACCUCUGUCUGAUACA